UACGUAGGUGGCAAGCGUUGUCCGGAAUUAUUGGGCGUAAAGUGCGCGUAGGUGGGAUCAUAAGUCUUUUGUCAAAGUGCGGGGCUCAACCCCGUGAUGCGGAAGAAACUGUGGUUCUUGAGUGCAGGAGAGGAAAGCGGAAUUCCCAGUGUAGCGGUGAAAUGCGUAGAUAUUGGGAGGAACACCAGUGGCGAAGGCGGCUUUCUGGACUGUGUCUGACACUGAGGCGCGAAAGCCAGGGGAGCGAACGGG
rnacentral:rRNA from 1 species